AUUGAACGCUGGCGGCAUGCCUUACACAUGCAAGUCGAACGGCAGCACGGGCUUCGGUCUGGUGGCGAGUGGCGAACGGGUGAGUAAUGUAUCGGAACGUACCUUUCAGUGGGGGAUAACGUAGCGAAAGUUACGCUAAUACCGCAUAUUCUGUGAGCAGGAAAGCAGGGGAUCGCAAGACCUUGCGCUGAUUGAGCGGCCGAUAUCAGAUUAGCUAGUUGGUGAGGUAAAUGCUCACCAAGGCGACGAUCUGUAGCGGGUCUGAGAGGAUGAUCCGCCACACUGGAACUGAGACACGGUCCAGACUCCUACGGGAGGCAGCAGUGGGGAAUUUUGGACAAUGGGGGCAACCCUGAUCCAGCCAUGCCGCGUGAGUGAAGAAGGCCUUCGGGUUGUAAAGCUCUUUCGGCCGGGAAGAAAUCGCAUGGGUUAAUACCCUGUGCGGAUGACGGUACCGGCAUAAGAAGCACCGGCUAACUACGUGCCAGCAGCCGCCGUAAUAC
rnacentral:rRNA from 1 species